CCUAUUUUCUACUUUUAGCCAUGACAGCCAUAUUGAUUGAUGUACCAUUCUAUAAUAGACCUAUUUACACUUUUAUGCUUAUUAGUCGGCAACUAGAUAAAAUCACAAAUGUUCCUAUUAAAUUUGACAUCACUUUUUUUUAAUUCACAAUUUUAAAAUUGAUUGUUGCUUGACUUCAGUCAGUUAUUCGGAGCAGAUCUAAGGUCAGUUGUAGACAAAAUUCAGCUUAAUUCAAAUAGUGAAAAUAGGUUUAUUCACAAACUAUAGGAUAGACAUCCUAGAAAAAAUCGUUUGGUAUUACAAUGAUUCAGUUGUGACCUUAAAUAUUUAAGAGCAAUAACUCCUAAAAGGAGCCAUCUAUGAAAUGUAGGUAGCUCUCGUUAUUUUGAACACUUGUUCCACUCCAAAUUUAUUCUACCUAUUAUGGUUUUCAACAUCUAUGACAAAGACUUAUAUUUUCAACUUAUGUAUUGCUUUCAACUGUGACAUUCGUUUAAAUGGAUAAUAAGUAAUACAAUUUACAAUUUAAGUGCAUUUCAAAGAGAAUUCUCUG
rnacentral:lncRNA from 1 species